rnacentral:rRNA from 1 species
CCUACGGGCGGCAGCAGUGAGGAAUAUUGGUCAAUGGACGAGAGUCUGAACCAGCCAAGUAGCGUGAAGGAUGACUGCCCUAUGGGUUGUAAACUUCUUUUAUAUGGGAAUAAAAUGUUCCACGUGUGGGAUUUUGUAUGUACCAUAUGAAUAAGGAUCGGCUAACUCCGUGCCAGCAGCCGCGGUACUACGGAGGAUCCGAGCGUUAGCCGGAUUUAUUGGGUUUAAAGGGAGCGUAGGUGGAUUGUUAAGUCAGUUGUGAAAGUUUGCGGCUCAACCGUAAAAUUGCAGUUGAAACUGGCAGUCUUGAGUACAGUAGAGGUGGGCGGAAUUCGUGGUGUAGCGGUGAAAUGCGUAGAUAUCACGAAGAACUCCGAUUGCGAAGGCAGUUCACUGGACUGCAACUGACACUGAGGCACGAAAGUGUGGGUAUCAAACAGGAUUAGAUACCCUUGUAGUC